rnacentral:sRNA from 1 species
UGAUCCUAAAACGUUGAAGCUUAUUGUCCGCUUUAACGUAUUUUCUCCACGUAUGUGGAGG